GAUGAACGCUAGCGGCAGGCUUAAUACAUGCAAGUCGAACGGUAAGGUCUCUUCGGAGAUACGCGAGUGGCGCACGGGUGCGUAACGCGUAUGCAACCUACCUUUAACUGGGAAAUAGCCCCGAGAAAUCGGGAUUAAUGUCCCAUACUAUUCUUUGAAUGCAUAUUCUGAGAAUGAAAGCUCUGGCGGUUAUUGAUGGGCAUGCGUGACAUUAGCUAGUUGGUGAGGUAACGGCUCACCAAGGCGACGAUGUCUAGGGGUCCUGAGAGGGUUAACCCCCACACUGGUACUGAGACACGGACCAGACUCCUACGGGAGGCAGCAGUAAGGAAUAUUGGGCAAUGGACGCAAGUCUGACCCAGCCAUGCCGCGUGAAGGAUGAAUGUCCUAUGGAUUGUAAACUUCUUUUAUGCAGGAAAAAUAUCCCGGUCGAGAACCGGGACUGAUGGUACUGUAUGAAUAAGCAUCGGCUAACUCCGUGCCAGCAGCCGCGGUAAAAC
rnacentral:rRNA from 1 species